rnacentral:lncRNA from 1 species
AAAAUAUCAGCGCUCAAAUGAAUAAGAUUUUUUUGGUGGUAUCUUAACGCAAUUUUUAUUAACUCAAAAGUUAACAUUUUUAACCCACCGUCCUUAGAGCAAAUGGCAAAGGACUUAGUGGUUGGUACCCGAUACCCAAAUUCGAAUCCUAAUUGAUUCAUAUUUCUAGCUAAGUUUAUUUCUAAAUAAAAUAAGCGAAACGGGUUGUAUGCUACCUAUUUCUCUCUCUCAAAAAAAAAAAAGUUAAACAUUUUUAUUUUCAUUUUUUACACCUUCUUAA